rnacentral:lncRNA from 1 species
GUUCUACAAAACCCUCAGAAAAUAUGUUCCUCGUGGCACUUCAGACCUGCUAAGCACCACUUAAGUCUUUACAGAAGAACCUAAAGGUUUGAAACCAUAUUCUUCAUAGCAAGUGUAUAGAAACCACAGGUGAACACAGUAAUAAUAGUGGCCUGGUGUACCACUCGAGAGCUCAAGGGCAUAAGUUUGAUGAUUUUCCCUACAGAAAAAAAAAAAAGUCUAAAGUCUAGAAGUUCCCCAGAACAAAAAUGCUUAAUGGAUAGGAACCUCACAACCUGGAUUCCAUUUCAGAAAUUCAGAUAAAAGUGGAAAGAAAGAGAGCACAUACAUAUUCCACAAAGGUGUCCUCUGACCUAUUGAAAAAUAAAGAUGAUAUU